AUUGAACGCUGGCGGCAUGCCUUACACAUGCAAGUCGAACGGCAGCACGGGUGCUUGCACCUGGUGGCGAGUGGCGAACGGGUGAGUAAUACAUCGGAACAUGUCCUGUAGUGGGGGAUAGCCCGGCGAAAGCCGGAUUAAUACCGCAUACGAUCCACGGAUGAAAGCGGGGGACCUUCGGGCCUCGCGCUAUAGGGUUGGCCGAUGGCUGAUUAGCUAGUUGGUGGGGUAAAGGCCUACCAAGGCGACGAUCAGUAGCUGGUCUGAGAGGACGACCAGCCACACUGGGACUGAGACACGGCCCAGACUCCUACGGGAGGCAGCAGUGGGGAAUUUUGGACAAUGGGCGAAAGCCUGAUCCAGCAAUGCCGCGUGUGUGAAGAAGGCCUUCGGGUUGUAAAGCACUUUUGUCCGGAAAGAAAUCCUUGGCUCUAAUACAGUCGGGGGAUGACGGGACCGGAAGAAGAAGCACCGGCUAACUACGU
rnacentral:rRNA from 1 species